GCGGCCGCGGCGCUGAACGCGGUGGACCGGCGCUCGCUACAGCGCUCUGCUCGGCUCGGGAGGGAAGUAUUGGAGCGCGCCAAGAGAAGGGCUGUGGACUGGCAUUCUCCAGAGCGAUCCAGAGGCUGCGUGGGGGUCCUUUACGGCCAGGACCCCUACCAGGAACGAUGGUCGGUCCCGGGUCCCCAGAGCCUCCUAGGAGAGAGAGAAGAAAGGCGCCCAACCCUUAGUACUUCCUUCAGGACAAUGGCAGAAUUCAUGGACUAUACUUCAAGUCAGUGUGGGAGGCAGCAGAUGGCAGCAAAGCCAUGCCAAAUACAAUUUCCUUGUCUCAGGCUUAUGGAAAGGACAGAAAUACUACUUGUCUACACCGGAGGAAGGAGGGGCAACCCACGUCUACCGUUAUCACAGAAGGAAGCCUGCAGAAGUGCACGUGUGCUCAGACUCGGGGCACAGGGAAGCGCAAAGAAACUGCAGAGGAGAGACAUCUGUUG
rnacentral:lncRNA from 1 species